rnacentral:pre_miRNA from 1 species
AAAAAGACAAACCCUGGUUUCCGUGUCCAACGUUUGACCGUCCGUCUUAUUUAAAAAAAUUAUGAAAAAAAAAUAAAAAGACAAGUCACGCAUAAAAUAUUAAUCAUGUUUUAUCAUCUAACAACAAUGAAAAUACGAAUUAUAAAAAAAUUUCAUAUAAGACGGACAGUCAAAGUUGGACACGGAAACCCAGGGUUUGUUUUUUU